AGUGAACGCUGGCGGCAGGCCUAACACAUGCAAGUCGAACGGCAGCACAGUAAGAGUUUGCUCUUACGGGUGGCGAGUGGCGGACGGGUGAGGAAUAUAUCGGAAUCUACUCUUUCGUGGGGGUUAACGCAGGGAAAGUUAUGCUAACACAGCAUACGACCCACGGGUGAAAGCAGGGGAUCUUUUGACCUUUUGCGAUUGAAUGAGCCGAUGUCGGAUUAGCUGGUUGGCGGGGUAAAGGCCCACCAAGGCGGCGAUCCGUAGCUGGUCUGAGAGGACGGUCACCCACACGGGAGGAGAGGCGGAGACGCGACUCCUGGGGGGAGAAGCAGUGGGGAAUAUUAGGCAAGGGAGGAGAGCGUGAUACAGGAAUACGGCGUAAGGGAUGAUGGCGUACGGGUUGGGAAGCCCUUAUGGUGGGAGAGAAGAGCAGCAGGUUUAUACGCGGCGAUAAUGACGGUACCGGGAGAAUAAGCACCGGCUAACUUCGUG
rnacentral:rRNA from 1 species